rnacentral:rRNA from 1 species
GACGAACGCUGGCGGCGUGCUUAACACAUGCAAGUCGAACGGAAAGGCCCUGCUUGCAGGGUACUCGAGUGGCGAACGGGUGAGUAACACGUGGGUGAUCUGCCCUGCACUUCGGGAUAAGCUUGGGAAACUGGGUCUAAUACCGGAUAGGAGCCAUCUUUAGUGUGGUGGUUGGAAAGUUUUUUCGGUGUAGGAUGAGCUCGCGGCCUAUCAGCUUGUUGGUGGGGUAAUGGCCUACCAAGGCGGCGACGGGUAGCCGGCCUGAGAGGGUGUACGGCCACAUUGGGACUGAGAUACGGCCCAGACUCCUACGGGAGGCAGCAGUGGGGAAAAUUGCACAAUGGGCGCAAGCCUGAUGCAGCGACGCCGCGUGGGGGAUGAAGGCCUUCGGGUUGUAAACUCCUUUCGCUAGGGACGAAGCUUUGUUGUGACGGUACCUAGAUAAGAAGCACCGGCUAACUACGUG